rnacentral:tRNA from 11 species
CGGGUUCGAGUCCCGGGCAACCCA